UACGUAGGGUGCAAGCGUUAAUCGGAAUUACUGGGCGUAAAGCGUGCGCAGGCGGUCCGUUAAGACAGAUGUGAAAUCCCCGGGCUUAACCUGGGAACUGCAUUUGUGACUGGCGGACUCGAGUAUGGCAGAGGGGGGUAGAAUUCCACGUGUAGCAGUGAAAUGCGUAGAGAUGUGGAGGAAUACCGAUGGCGAAGGCAGCCCCCUGGGUCAAGAUUGACGC
rnacentral:rRNA from 1 species